rnacentral:misc_RNA from 1 species
ACAAACUUGGUCAUUUAGAGGAAGUAAAAGUCGUAACAAGGUUUCCGUAGGUGAACCUGCGGAAGGAUCAUUACAGAAACGUAAAGGGCCCGGGUUCCGUGGCGUGUGAAAGCACGCCACUCCCGGUCACCCUCUACUAUCUAUCCACCCCUUUGUGAACCAACGCGUGGACUAGUACGGGAGCCCCCUUCUGGCGGGUUUCCGGAGCGUCCGCGACUAUCUAUAUACCCUUUAGAAAGUCUCAGAAUGUACUUUGCGUUAACCGCAUGAAAUACAACUUUCAGCAACGGAUCUCUUGGCUCUCGCAUCGAUGAAGAACGCAGC